CUUGAUCGACCCCAGCCACAACGGCCGGUCCGCGGGCCGAUCCUGCCCGUAGGUCGCCAAAAGCGCCUGGGCCUC
rfam:Mycobacterium interjectum strain DSM 44064 contig_15, whole genome shotgun sequence.